AAAGGUUUUUGUCUGAGUGGUGAUCUGACUUCCCAUCAAAGACUUCAUACAGGAGAGAAACCGUAUCACUGCUUGGAAUGUGGAAAGAGCUUUCGUCUGAGUGGUGAUCUGACUUCCCAUCAAAGAGUUCACACAGGGGAAAAACCCUAUCAGUGCUUGGAAUGUGGAAAGAGCUUUCGUCAGAGUGGUGAUCUGACUUCCCAUCAAAGAAUUCAUACAGGGGAGAAACCCUAUAUGUGCUUGGAAUGUGGGAAAAGCUUCCGGGAGGGCCACAAGCUCACUUCCCAUCAAAGAAUUCAUACAGGUGAGAAACCCUAUCAGUGCUUGGAAUGUGGAAAGAGCUUCAGUCAAAGUGCCACACUCUCUUACCAUCACAGAAUUCAUACAGGGGAGAAACCCUAUCAGUGCUCAGAAUGUGGGAAGCGCUUCAGUCAGGAGGGGAAUCUCACUUCUCAUCAAAGAAUUCAUACAGGGAGAAACCCUAUCAGUGCUCAGAAUGUGAAAAGAGCUUCAGUCGGAAGGAUAGUCUCACUUCCCAUCAAAGAAUCCAUACAAGAGAGAAAACGGUUUAGUGUUUGGAAUGUGGGAAAAGAUUCGUUCAUGGCCCACCAAAUAAUUCAUACGGGGUUGAAAGCAUAUCAGCACACGGAAUGUGUAUAAAAUUUCACUUGUUCAAAAGUCAAUUUAAGAUCUCACACCAGGGUGAAGUAUAGAAUUAUAGAUUCAGAAUCUAGUCCAGCCCCCUCCAGAAAUCUCAUUUCAAGCAUCCAUGACAGGUGGCCAUCCAACUUCUUCUUAAAACCCCCCAAGGAAGGUCCACCCCCCUUCUGAGAGAGUUCCUUUUCACAGUCAGCUCUUACUAUCAGAGAGAGAAUAUAAAAAGACUUUGGAGAAGACUUCCGGUGUGAUGGCCUAUGGCGUUUGGCUGCUUUCCCAGGACACCGGACCCUAGUCGUGCAAUUAAACAAGGUGAAUCUGGGGGUAAUUAUCCCUGUUGAACCCUGCAGGGAUGGGGCGCACGUGCCUUCACCCGCACGCCGUCCGAUAUCUGCUGCUCGCUACAGUGGAGGCAGGGGCGCUGGGUGUUUAGCAUUGCACGAAUUGGAAAAUCUCCAAUGCCAACGCCAUGAGCGGGAGCAUUCCUGUUUUUCAACAAAGAUUUGAAUUUGGACUUUGAAAGGACUUUUGUCGCUCUGCUACAGAAGAUGUGAGGUGAGCAUCUCAUCUUUGCUUAUACUUGCUACUGUUGGGCCAACGCCCUCCCUCAUCUGUCUGAAUGGUGAGGAACUUCGCCCGUAGUAGCAGAGUACAGCAGAAGCAGACUCUGGCUGGAAAGCAGCAUCGAGAAGAUAAGAAGGCAACAGAGCGACAGAGCUGACUCACGCAGCCGUAUCCUUCAGCAAAAGCCAGAUGCAAGGACCAGAGGGGAGGAGGAGGAGAUAUAGAAAUUGCUCCCGUUCUCACACGAUGAUACAUUAGGUAAUUAGGCAAUUAAAGGCACAGUGUCACACUGUGCAAUGAAAGAAUGAAACACUGCAGUACUGACACCUACUUCAUGAUUUGGCAAGCCUCAUGGAGAAAGAUUCAAUUAAUUAAAUGGAAUGCAAGUGAAACUUCAUUAAAAAACUUGAGAAUUUGAUGUUUAAUGGUGCGGUCCUUUGUGGAGGGCUCUAAUUAUUAUUGGCAAGGUAUCAGCUUGUUUGAAGAUAUGGAGAGACUUUGCUGAAAUACCGUGUUACCAGAGAAUGAGGCUGUAAUUUCAACUGCGUCACACGCCAUCUUCUCUCCCUUUUUUGUUAUUGUUUGAGUCCAGAUAGAGAGUAAUCUGGCGUCCCGCCAAAGCUCUGGCAAGACUCCAGCUUCUCCUUCCGUCCAACUCUCUCAAUAACGAUCUGGCAUCCUGCCAAAGCCAUAGCCGAUCAUCAAAGCUCAAAUUCCAUUUCCUUCCAAAGGAAUACAGUGAAAGUCCAUCUGCUUGCAUGGACUUUUGUCAUAUAUGGAUUUAUAAAAGUGAAGGUGAAUCUUUGAUCUUUGUAAUCUUCCCUUAGGGCUCAGGGGGAGCAAGCUUGGAUUCUAGAGGAACCAAACAAGUAUUAACUGUGAAAUCUAUCGCACAGUGUGGUCUCUUACAGAAGAUUCUUCGGUUUGGGAAAAUAUCAGUCAGUUAAAAUACAUUACAUGUGUCUUAAUUUUAACUAAACAAAGGAAAGCUGGAAGACAGCCCAGAGUCCUGGAAGAUAAGACAGUGGAAUGAAAUAGGGCCUUCUGUUUUUUGUUUUUUUUAAAUGAUUUUUAUUAAGGUUUCUGUAAAAAGUUAAACAGAAAAACAUAAAAAAGAAAUACACAAAUACACAGUACAUAAUCCAAAAAAGAAUAAUCCGUUUUUAAAUUUACUUAUUUUCUGGACCUCCUCAUACCUCCCUCUUUUGUAUUCCAGUCCAAAUUGUUUGUCCAGCAAUUUCUUUUCCACUUUUUUAAUCUCAAUCUUUAAUCUUAAUGUAAUAUAACAUUAAAAUUUUACCUCUUAAGUACCAAAUUUCCAUUUCCUUAAACAUCUUUAAUCCUAAUCUUUAAUCUUAGUCUAUCUAUAACUUUAAAUCCUGUACAGCUGGAAACCACUUAUUUUCAAUUCAACAUCACUCUAACAUUCUUUAAUUUUGCAGUGUUUCUGAAGAUAAUCUUUGAAUUUCUUCCAAUCUUCCUCCACCAAGUCUUCUCCUGGUCACGGAUUCUGCCAGUCAUUUCCGCCAGUUCCAUAUAGUCCAUCAGUUUCAUCUGCCAUUCCUCCAGCGUGGGAAGUUCUUGUGUCUUCCAAUACUUUGCGAUGAGUAUUCUUGCUGCUGUUGUUGCAUACAUAAAGAAAGUUCUAUCCUUUUUUAGCACCAUUUGGCCGACUAUGCCCAGGAGAAAGGCCUCUGGUUUCUUAGGGAAGGUAUAUUUAAAUACCCUUUUCAUUUCAUUAUAAAUCAUCUCCCAGAAAGCCUUAAUCUUUGGGCACGUCCACCAAAGGUGAAAAAAUGUACCUUCAGUUUCUUUACAUUUCCAACAUUUAUUAUCGGGCAAAUGAUAGAUUUUCGCAAGCUUGACUGGGGUUAUGUACCACCUGUAUAUCAUUUUCAUAAUAUUCUCUCUUAAGGCAUUGCAUGCCGUAAAUUUCAUACCUGUGGUCCACAACUGUUCCCAGUCAGCAAACAUAAUGUUAUGUCCAACGUCUUGUGCCCAUUUAAUCAUAGCUGAUUUUACCGUUUCACAUUAACUGUGAAAUCUAUCGCUCUUACAGAAGAUUCUUCAGUUUGGGAAAAUAUCAGUCAGUUAAAAUACAUUACAUGUGUCUUAAUUUUAACUAAACAAAGGAAAGCAGGAAGACAGCCCAGAGUCCUGGAAGAUAAGAUGGUGGAAUGAAAUAGGGCCUUCUGAGGAGGGACUGCACCGAAAACAAUUGAUGGACAACAACAAGAAGAGCACAAUUUUCAUCAUGCAUGUUAAUUUAGAUAUAGAUCUGUUAAAUAUGAUGAAAGUUGCAUGCCAGUGGCUGUCAAGAUAAGAUAAAGGAUUAAGAUCGGGAUGAUAUUAGGAAUAAAUAAAAGAGAGAAAAGUAGGAACAAGAACCCCCCCAAAAAAAUAAUCUCAUCAAUCUUUGACUUUUGUCUUUUGGGUUUCUCUGUUGUUAUUCUGUCUCUCACAGCUACAAUAAACCUACCAUUAAUAUUGUGGACUAGGCAUUUCUUCGUCAGAGGGCAAAAAACCCAAAUUUAGCAGGGGAUCAAAUACUUUCCCCCCUCACUCUAUUUGUUUACACUCACACACACACCUGGCUCUCGUUUGAAAGAGGAGUGAGAGGCGGAGGCACUUUACUGACAGAAUGGCAUUUCCACGGCACCUCCUUUCCUCCCAGGAGCUCCUCCUUCCACAACCCUGCCAGGCUGGCCGCUUGCCUUUCACCCCC